rnacentral:ncRNA from 2 species
AUCAAAAGGAAAAUAGCGAUUCGUAUAAUUUCGGGAAUAGGCCCGGAAGUUUCUACGAGAUCACCGUAAAUGAUCUGGCUACGAACAAACGAAGGAUGACA